rnacentral:rRNA from 1 species
AUUGAACGCUGGCGGCAUGCCUUACACAUGCAAGUCGAACGGCAGCACGGGAGCAAUCCUGGUGGCGAGUGGCGAACGGGUGAGUAAAGUAUCGGAACGUGCCCAGUCGUGGGGGAUAACGUAGCGAAAGUUACGCUAAUACCGCAUACGAUCUAUGGAUGAAAGCGGGGGAUCGCAAGACCUCGCGCGAUUGGAGCGGCCGAUAUCAGAUUAGGUAGUUGGUGGGGUAAAGGCUCACCAAGCCGACGAUCUGUAGCUGGUCUGAGAGGACGACCAGCCCAACUGGGACUGAGACACGGCCCAGACUCCAACGGGAGGCAGCAGUGGGGAAUUUUGAACAAUGGGCGAAAGCCUGAUCCAGCCAUGCCGCGUGCAGGAUGAAGGCCUUCGGGUUGUAAACUGCUUUUGUACGGAACGAAAAGGUUUGGCCUAAUAAGCUGAGCUCAUGACGGUACCGUAAGAAUAAGCACCGGCUAACUACGUGCCAGCCGCCGCCGUAA